rnacentral:tRNA from 1 species
GCCGGGAUAGCUCAGUUGAUAGAGCA